CCCCCCCCACUUUGUUAUAGUCGAGUGGGAUAAUGGCUGUACUUUCAAAUGUUUGGACUGUAUGCUUACGGGGUCAGUGAGAGAAAUCUGACAUGGAUUAUGUCUAAAAAAACCUUGAUGAUUUUAUUACAUGCUAGUUACAGUAACUUCAAAUGAGUGAGAGAAGACUGGUGUGUUUCCCUCAUGCCCUGCAAGGAGAGCACCCCAUGGAGAUGAAUGCAGCCUGAAACAGUAGCUUUGAGGGGUGUAAACUUGUGUGAGACCUUAUCUACACUACAAAAUUAUGUCAACCUAUAUUACGUCGGCGUACAGCUGCUGCAGUAAUUAAAUUGCUUUUGAAUGCCUA